GCUAGGUUUAUUUAGCAAACCUCUCCACCUCUGCAGGUAUGUGACAGAGCUGCUGGGUGGUGAGGCCUACGUCUCUUGCUCUGUAGUGCUGCCUGCUUUUCGCCAUCUGUACCGUGUCAUGGACAUUACUGAUGAUGAUCCUGCCUACGUGGUGAAGUUCAAGAAUGCCUUCCAGAAGGAUCUGGCAGCACGACGAGCUAAUGGCAACGAGAUAUGGUUCGGGGUGGCCACAGCAUUGGAUCCACGGUUUAAGGAUUUGAAAUGUCUUCCAAGAGAAAAGAGGGAACAGGUGUGGACCAUUCUGGAGAAUAUGCUCCAGGCAGCAGAGCCCAGAAGAGCAGAUAGUCUCCAGCCCUCCACAGAGGAUGAUGGACCAGCUCAGAAGAAGAGGAGGAGCGAACUCCUUCUGGGGUCUGACUCUGACUCAGAAGAUGGAAUUGAGUCUGGAGAGCUGCAGCGCUACAGAGCAGAACCCAGCAUCAGUAUUGAUGACUGUCCCCUGCAGUGGUGGUAUGCUCACUCAGGAGUCUAUGAAAAGCUGUCAGUCCUAGCACAAAAGUACCUGGCCUCCCCAGCUACCUCUGUACCCUGUGAGAGACUCUUUAGCCUUGCAGGCCACAUAGUGCAAAAGAAAAGGGCAGCCUUGCUUCCAGAAAAUGUUACCAGGCUGGUGUGUCUUAGCGACUGGCUGAGGAAGAAGAAAUGAGACACAUGUGGUCAGCAUAGCUGCUGUGUCAUUUGUAGCCUACUAGAAUAGAUUGCUUGAUGUUCAGCACUUUUUUUUGUGAUGGAAGAAUACUUUGAUGUGCUAACUUGCAGCACUGCAAUGUCAGUUUUAUUUUUCAUUCUCUGAAGCAGAGGAAUUUCAGUGCUGUAUUGCUCAGAAAAGAGCAACUCUGAUGUGCUAACUUGCAGCACUUAAUUUAUUUGAUUUUAUUUGUAUUUAUUUUUCCACUUAUUUUACAAAAGAAUACAACAGUAUGUAAAUGGUUGCAUCUGUUUAACGUUUGUUAAACAAUAAAUGACUUUAUAAAGUCACUUUCUUUGUUAUAUCAGUCUUUUGGUCUGCCACAAUAAGUUGAGGGCUUUCCUCAGCUAUUUUUAGGUGAGAUUAAAAAAGAGAUUAAUUAGAUCAAUUAAUUAAAAAUCAUAAUUAA
ensembl:lncRNA